CCUGGAGAGUGACUCGCGUCCUAUCAGCUGGUUGGUGGGGUGACGGCCCACCAAGGCGAUGACGGGUAGCCGACCUGAGAGGGUGGCCGGCCACACUGGAACUGAGAUACGGUCCAGACUCCUACGGGAGGCAGCAGUGGGGAAUAUUGGGCAAUGGGCGCAAGCCUGACCCAGCGACGCCGCGUGGGGGAAGAAGUCUUUCGGGACGUAAACCCAUGUUGUACGGGACGAAGGAAGUGACGGUACCGUACGAGGAAGCCCCGGCAAACUACGUGCCAGCAGCCGCGGUAAUACGUAGGGGGCGAGCGUUGUCCGGAAUCACUGGGCGUAAAGCGCACGUAGGCGGGCUGUUAAGUCGGCCGUGAAAUACACUGGCUCAACCGGUGCAGGUCGGUCGAUACUGGCGGUCCGGAGUAUGGGAGAGGGAACUGGAAUUCCCGGUGUAGCGGUGAAAUGCGUAGAU
rnacentral:rRNA from 1 species